UACAGAGGUCUCGAGCGUUAGGCGGAAUCACUGGGCUUAAAGCGUGUGUAGGCGGAUCGGUAAGUACCUUGUGAAAUCCCACAGCUUAACUGUGGAACUGCUUGGUAUACUGCCAGUCUUGAGCCACUUAGGGGCUACCGGAACAAAUGGUGGAGCGGUGAAAUGCGUAGAUAUCAUUUGGAACGCCAAUGGUGAAAACAGGUAGCUGGGAGUGAUGCUGACGCUGAGACACGAAAGCCAGGGGAGCAAACAGG
rnacentral:rRNA from 1 species